rnacentral:rRNA from 1 species
UACGUAGGGUGCGAGCGUUAAUCGGAAUUACUGGGCGUAAAGGGCUCGUAGGCGGCCAACUAAGUCAGACGUGAAAUCCCUCGGCUUAACCGGGGAACUGCGUCUGAUACUGGAUGGCUUGAGUUUGGGUGAGGGAUGCGGAAUUCCAGGUGUAGCGGUGAAAUGCGCAGAUAUCAGGAGGAACACCGGUGGCGAAGGCGGUGGUCUGGGCCGGCACCGACGCUGAGGAGCGAAAGCGUGGGGAGCGAACAGG